AGCCGGGGAAUUAGCGGAGCCUUGUACCUGCAAUCCGCUACAGCAGGGGUCAUGUCGGUACUGAGGGCAUUCGUUUGUGGAGCUGCCCGCUGCAAGUGGCGUUGACGUUUGGGUCUUAUGCAACAGGACGCCGCGAACCGUGUCAGGUCGGGAACGAAGCAGCACUAAGAGGAUUGACUUGUGUGACGUAAGGGUGCCUGGGCCGAGUUAACUACAGCGGUAACGUCCAGGGGCGGUGUUCGAACUGG
rnacentral:SRP_RNA from 1 species